UUGUUUGUCAAUGAGGACAAAAUUGACAACGAAGUGAAAUGGGCUAAAGUCUAUGUGCAGAAUGAUACUGAUUCAUGUGGAGUUCAUGUUAUCUCUUGGCUACAAGAGUGGGAUGGCACCGUUCGGGAUGAUGCAGGAUAUACAAUGCCACGAUACUCUAAUGAUGAGCUACAAGAUUUGAAGGUUGGCUGUUUGUGGUGGUUGGUAACCCAUCCAAGUAAUGAACAUGGGAGUGAAGUGAUGUCGAUGCUAUCGGACUACAAUAAGACCAAGAAGAGGAGAUAGAGUAGUCUAUGAAUUUUUUGUUCUCUUAGCCCAUGAUAUGUGUUGUUAAGAUGAUUAGCAAAUAGGUCAUUUUGUAACAAACUGAUCAGGUUAUGUUUAUAAUAUUAUUACCUUUGUCAUCA